rnacentral:rRNA from 1 species
UACGGAGGGUGCGAGCGUUGUCCGGAAUCAUGGGGCGUAAAGGGCGCGUAGGUGGCGGGACAAGCGUGCGGUGAAAGCCUGGGGCUCAACCCCGGGUCGGCCGUGCGAACUGUUUUGCUUGAGCACUGUAGAGGCAGGCGGAAUUCCGGGUGUAGCGGUGGAAUGCGUAGAGAUCCGGAAGAACACCGGUGGCGAAGGCGGCCUGCUGGGCAGUAGCUGACACUGAGGCGCGACAGCGUGGGGAGCAAACAGG